AGAGUUUGAUCCUGGCUCAGAUUGAACGCUGGCGGCAUGCUUUACACAUGCAAGUCGAACGGUAACAGGGAGCUUGCUCCGCUGACGAGUGGCGAACGGGUGAGUAAUGCAUCGGAGCGUGCCCAUGUUGUGGGGGAUAACUACGCGAAAGCGUGGCUAAUACCGCAUACGCCCUGAGGGGGAAAGCGGGGGAUUCUUCGGAACCUCGCGCAAUUGGAGCGGCCGAUGUCAGAUUAGCUUGUUGGUGAGGUAAAGGCUCACCAAGGCGACGAUCUGUAGCGGGUCUGAGAGGAUGAUCCGCCACACUGGGACUGAGACACGGCCCAGACUCCUACGGGAGGCAGCAGUGGGGAAUUUUGGACAAUGGGGGCAACCCUGAUCCAGCCAUGCCGCGUGAGUGAAGAAGGCCUUCGGGUUGUAAAGCUCUUUCAGCCGGGAAGAAAACGCACGCUCUAACAUAGCGUGUGGAUGACGGUACCGGACCAAGAAGCACCGGCUAACUACGUGCCAGCAGCCGCGGUAAUAU
rnacentral:rRNA from 1 species